GUAACACGUGGGUAACCUGCCUUAUAGUGGGGGAUAGCCUUUCGAAAGGAAGAUUAAUACCGCAUAAGAUUGUAGUAUCGCAUGAUAUAGCAAUUAAAGGAGCAAUUCGCUAUAAGAUGGACCCGCGUCGCAUUAGCUAGUUGGUGAGGUAAUGGCUCACCAAGGCGACGAUGCGUAGCCGACCUGAGAGGGUGAACGGCCACAUUGGGACUGAGACACGGCCCAGACUCCUACGGGAGGCAGCAUG
rnacentral:rRNA from 1 species